ensembl:misc_RNA Metazoa_SRP Metazoan signal recognition particle RNA
GCUGGGUAUGGUGGCAUGAGCUUGUAGUCCCAGCUAGUUGGGAGGCUAAGGUAGGAGGAGCUCUUGAGACCAGGAGUUCUGGGCUAUAGCGCACUAUGCUGAUGGGGUGUCCACACUCAGUGUGGCAUCACUAUGGCAACUUCCCAGGAGUGGGGGCCCACCAGGUUGCCUAAGGAGGGGUGAACCAGGUCAAAAACAGAGCAGAUCAAAGUAUCUAUGUUGAUCAGUAGUGGGACUGCACCCGUGAAUAGUCACUACACUUGAUCCUUUCUUUGUUCUGGCCUUUA